AUGGCAUUGAACAUGUCCUAAUGUUUCACAAUGAGAAGUGAAGCACUUCCUCUUACUUAAAAAGAAAAAUAUUUGAUUUUUACAGGAUGCCUGACACUAAUGCUCACUAUUCUGCUAUCUAUAAUGUCUUCACUUAUGGAUAUAUUUAUUAACAAAUACUUAUUAUCUAUUUAACAUUUCCUCUACUGAGUGUUAUUAAUUACAGAUGCUGUAUUCGUUUCCUAAGGCUGCUGUAACAAAUUACCACAAACUUGGUGACUUAAAACAACAGAAAUUUAUUCUCUCACGGUUCUGGAGGCCAGAAGUUCAAAAUACAGCUGGGACCAAAGGCAUCUCUAAGGAAGGAUACAGUCCUUGCCUCUUCCAGGGUUCUGUGCCUCCUGUUGGAAUCAGCUCACUAACCAGUGGAAACAAACUGUUUAUCCUUCUAUGAUGUUGUUAACUGCCUGGGCUUUCUAAUGCGUCUUCAGAUUUCAGUUUGUACUCAGAACAAGUGAGAAAAGUUUUACAGAAACUCCACGAAACAAAGCAGACAGGCUCUCCUGAAGCCAAGGAGUUAUGAAAAAGGCAGGCAUCGCGCACUGAAUCAAGUAUGCCAUUACCCUCACUCCCAUGAACCUGUCUUUCAGCACAAUCCAUGACAGCAAGAAGACAAAGGCUUUGUUACAACAGAACAGAGCGGAGACAUCCGUGGCCGUCAGCUUCUUUA
rnacentral:antisense_RNA from 1 species